AUGAACGCUGGCGGCGUGCCUAAUACAUGCAAGUCGAGCGGACUUGAUGGGAGCUUGCUCCCUGAUAGUCAGCGGCGGACGGGUGAGUAACACGUGGGCAACCUACCUUUAAGACUGGGAUAACUUCGGGAAACCGGAGCUAAUACCGGAUAACAUGUAAGACCACAUGGUCUUACAUUAAAAGAUGGCUUCGGCUAUCACUUAUAGAUGGGCCCGCGGCGCAUUAGCUAGUUGGUGAGGUAAUGGCUCACCAAGGCGACGAUGCGUAGCCGACCUGAGAGGGUGAUCGGCCACACUGGGACUGAGACACGGCCCAGACUCCUACGGGAGGCAGCAGUAGGGAAUCUUCCGCAAUGGACGAAAGUCUGACGGAGCAACGCCGCGUGAACGAUGAAGGCUUUCGGGUCGUAAAGUUCUGUUGUUAGGGAAGAACAAGUACCAGAGUAACUGCUGGUACCUUGACGGUACCUAACCAGAAAGCCACGGCUAACUACGUG
rnacentral:rRNA from 1 species